CCUACGGGUGGCUGCAGUCGAGAAUCAUUCACAAUGGGGGAAACCCUGAUGCUGCGACGCCGCGUGAGGGAAUGCAGGUCUUCGGUUGGUAACCUCCUGUCAUGUGGGAGCAAAUUAAAAAGAUAGCACCACAAGAGGAACAGACGGCUAACUAGGUGCCAGCAGCCGCGGUAAGAAGGAGGUCGCAAGCGUUCUUCGGAAUCAGUGGGAGUAAGGGGAGCGUAGGCGGGAUGGUAAGUUGUGUGUGAAAGGCGCCGGCUCAACCUGAGGACGGCACAAGAUACUAGGAUACUAGAGUAAUGGAGAGGAAAGCGGAAUUCCUGGUGUAGCAGUGAAAUGCGUAGAUAUCGGGAGGAACACUAGUGGCGAAGGCGGGUUCCUGGACAGUAACUGACGCUGAGGCACGAAGGCGAGGGGAGCGAAAGGGAUUAGAUACCCGGGUAGUC
rnacentral:rRNA from 1 species